CCUACGGGAGGCAGCAGUGGGGAAUUUUGGACAAUGGGCGCAAGCCUGAUCCAGCUAUUCCGCGUGUGGGAUGACGGCCCUCGGGUUGUAAACCACUUUAGUAGAGAACGAAAAGGAGCUAUCGCAUAAAUCGCUCUGCUGACGGUACUCUAAGAAUAAGCACCGGCUAACUACGUGUCAGCAGCCGCGGUAAUACGUAGGGUGCGAGCGUUAAUCGGAAUUACUGGGCGUAAAGGGUGUGCAGGCGGCUGAGUAAGACAGAUGUGAAAUCCCCGGGCUUAACCUGGGAACCGCAUAUGUGACUGCUUGGCUAGAGUGCGUCAGAGGGAGGUGGAAUUCCACGUGUAGCAGUGAAAUGCGUAGAUAUGUGGAAGAACACCGAUGGCGAAGGCAGCCUACUGGGACGCAACUGACGCUCAUACACGAAAGCGUGGGGAGCAAACAGGAUUAGAUACCCUUGUAGUC
rnacentral:rRNA from 1 species